rnacentral:lncRNA from 1 species
GACACAUAAGGGAGUUGGCACUGUACAAAGUAAACCAAAUCCCCUCAAGCAUGGAAGUGAAGUAACAUCACCACUUUAUGAGAUCAUGCACGCGCUCCUAGACAGAUUUCAUAGAAGAUCUGAUCUAACAACAUUCUGUAGUCGUAAAAAGCAAAUCUUGAAGUACAACCCAGAAAUUCAUAUGACAUUCAUCUGCAAAAGCCCAGAUGCAUAUCUGACCGUUCAUCCACAUGAGCCCAGAUGAAGAUCAAGAUGAACACAGCAACAUUCUGAAGUAUUUCAGUUUGCCCAGAAUUUCAAGUGAAAGUUGGUGGGGCCCAGGACACGUGGCAUACGACCAGUGGUCACUCUCCAACGGCUACAAAGGCUCAAGAACUCUAUAAAUAGAGAUCAAGACCUCAGCAUAACACAC